GAGGUGUAAUGUCCACAAGACAGGGAUGUGUAAGGUCCACUAAAUAGGGAUGUGUAAGGUCCACUAGACAGGGAUGUGUAAGGUCCACUAGACAGGGAUGUGUAAGGUCCACUAGAUAGGGAUGUGUAAGGUCCACUAGAUAGGGAGGUGUAAGGUCCACUAGACAGGGAUGUGUAAGGUCCACUAGACAGGGAUGUGUAAGGUCCACGAGACAGGGAUGUGUAAGGUCCACUAGAUAGGGAGGUAUAAGGUCCACUAGACAGGGAUGUGUAAGGUCCACUAGACAGGAAUGUGUAAAGUCCACUAGACAGGGAUGUGUAAGGUCCACUAGACAGGGAUGUGUAAGGUCCACUAGACAGGGAUGUGUAAGGUCCACUAGAUAGGGAGGUGUAAAGUCCACUAGACAGGGAUGUGUAAGGUCCACUAGAUAGGGAAGGCUUAAGGUCCACUAGAUAGGGAGGUGUAAUGUCCACUAGACAGGGAUGUGUAAGGUCCACUAGAUAGGGAGGUGUAAGGUCCACUAGAUAGGGAUGUGUAAGGUCCACUAGAUAGGGAUGUGUAAGGUCCACUAGAUAGGGAUGUGUAAUGUCCACUAGAUAGGGAUGUGUAAGGUCCACUAGAUAGGGAUGUGUAAGGUCCACUAGAUAGGGAUGUGUAAGGUCCACUAGAUAGGGAUGUGUAAGGUCCACUAGAUAGGAAUGUGUACUGUCCACUAGAUAGGGAGGUGUAAUGUCCUCUCGACAGGGAAGGUGUAAUGUCCAAUAAACAGGGAAGGCUUAAGGUCCACUAGAUAGGGAGGUGUAAUGUCCAUUAGAUAGGGAUGUGUAAGGUCCACUAGACAGGGAAGGCUUAAGGUCCACUAGAUAGGGAGGUGUAAUGUCCAUUAGACAGGGAAGGCUUAAGGUCCACUAGAUAGGGAUGUGUACUGUCCACUAGAUAGGGAGGUGUAAUGUCCUCUCGACAGGGAAGGUGUAAUGUCCAAUAAACAGGGAAGGCUUAAGGUCCACUAGACAGGGAGGUGUAAUGUCCAUUAGACAGGGAAGGCUUAAGGUCCACUAGAUAGGUAUGUAAUGUCCACUAGACAGGGAAGGUGUAAUGUCCACUAGACAGGGAAGGUGUAAUGUCCACUAGACAGGGAAGGUGUAAUGUCCACUAGACAGGGAAGGCUUAAAGUCCACUAGAUAGGUAUGUAAUGUCCACUAGACAGGGAAGGUGUAAUGUCCACUAGACAGGGAAGGCUUAAGGUCCACUAGAUAGGUAUGUAAUGUCCACUAGAUAGGGAAGGCUUAAGGUCCACUAGAUAGGGAUGUGUAAGGUCCACUAGAUAGGGAUGUGUAAGGUCCACUAGAUAGGGAUGUGUAAGGUCCACUAGAUAGGGAGGUGUAAUGUCCACAAGACAGGAAAGGCUAAGGUCCACUAGAUAGGGAGGUGUAAUGUCCACAAGACAGGGAAGGCUUAAGGUCCACUAGAUAGGGAGGUGUAUUGUCCAAUAAACAGGGAAGGCUUAAGGUCCACUAGAUAGGGAGGUGUAAUGUCCACUAGACAGGGAAGGCUUAAGGUCCACUAGAUAGGGAUGUGUACUGUCCACUAGAUAGGGAGGUGUAAUGUCCUCUCGACAGGGAAGGUGUAAUGUCCAAUAAACAGGGAAGGCUUAAGGUCCACUAGACAGGGAGGUGUAAUGUCCAUUAGACAGGGAAGGCUUAAGGUCCACUAGAUAGGUAUGUAAUGUCCACUAGACAGGGAAGGUGUAAUGUCCACUAGACAGGGAAGGCUUAAGGUCCACUAGAUAGGUAUGUAAUGUCCACUAGAUAGGGAGGUGUAAUGUCCACUAGACAGGGAAGGCUUAAGGUCCACUAGACAGGGAAGGCUUAAGGUCCACUAGACAGGGAGGUGUAAUAUCCACUAGAUAGGGAGGUGUAAUGUCCACUAGACAGGGAAGG